AAUACAAUCACCUGGGGUUUUGUUAGAAAUGCAGAAUCUGAGGUUUAUUUAAUAAAAAAUAUGCAUUUUGACAAAAUCCCAGAGUGAUUUGUAU
rnacentral:miRNA from 1 species